CCACUGGUCCUCGUGGCCUCGGCCCUCCUCCCAGCAGCCAUGUCCUGGGAAGAAGCCCUCUGCUCCUCGCUGACCGGCGGUAAUGGCAGCUCAGGGGCACAAGAGAGAGAAGCCGAAUGCCUCCUCAUGACCUGGCCUCGGGGUCCAGACAUCACUCCCACCACGACCUAUUGAUCAGACGUCAUCGUCACAGACGUCAGGGCCCCCCAGGUGGCACUAGUGAUGAAGAACCUGCCAACGCCAUGCAGGAGAUGCAAGAGACGCGGACUCAGUCCCUGCGUCAGGAAGAUCCCCUGCCA